rnacentral:rRNA from 1 species
UACGUAGGGUGCGAGCGUUGUCCGGAAUUAUUGGGCGUAAAGGGCUCGUAGGCGGUCUGUUGCGUCGGGAGUGAAAACUCAGGGCUUAACCCUGAGCCUGCUUCCGAUACGGGCAGACUAGAGUUCGGCAGGGGAGACUGGAAUUCCUGGUGUAGCGGUGAAAUGCGCAGAUAUCAGGAGGAACACCGGUGGCGAAGGCGGGUCUCUGGGCCGAUACUGACGCUGAGGAGCGAAAGCGUGGGGAGCGAACAGG